GAUGAACGCUGGCGGCGUGCCUAAUACAUGCAAGUCGAGCGAACAGACGAGUAGCUUGCUCCUCUGACGUUAGCGGCGGACGGGUGAGUAACACGUGGAUAACCUACCUAUAAGACUGGGAUAACUUCGGGAAACCGAAGCUAAUACCGGAUCAUAUAUUGAACCGCAUGGUUCAAUAGUGAAAGACGGUUUUGCUGUCGGUUAUAGAUGGAUCCGCGGCGCAUUAGCUAGUGGGUAGGGUAACGGCUUACGAUGGCUACGAUGGGUAGCCGACCUGAGAGGGGGGACGGGGUCAUGGGGACUGAGAGAGGGAGCAGAAGCGUAUGGGAGGCAGUAGGGGGGAAUAUUGCAGAAUGGGCGGAAGCCUGAGGCAGAAACGUCGCGUGCGGAAUGACGGCCUUUGGGUUGUAAACAGAUUUCUAAGGAGCUGAAGACUGCGUGACGGUAACUAGUAAAAAAGCCACGGCUAAAUACGUG
rnacentral:rRNA from 1 species